UACGUAGGGGGCAAGCGUUGUCCGGAUUUAUUGGGCGUAAAGAGCGUGUAGGCGGCUAGGUAGGUCCGUUGUGAAAACUCGAGGCUCAACCUCGAGACGUCGAUGGAAACCAUCUAGCUAGAGUCCGGAAGAGGAGAGUGGAAUUCCUGGUGUAGCGGUGAAAUGCGCAGAUAUCAGGAAGAACACCCGUGGCGAAGGCGGCUCUCUGGUACGUGACUGACGCUAAGGCGCGAAAGCGUGGGGAGCGAACAGG
rnacentral:rRNA from 1 species